rnacentral:rRNA from 1 species
UACGUAGGGGGCAAGCGUUGUCCGGAUUUAUUGGGCGUAAAGAGCUCGUAGGUGGUUUGGUAAGUCGGAUGUGAAAUCUCCAGGCUCAACCUGGAGGGGUCAUUCGAUACUGCCAUGACUAGAGGUCGGUAGGGGAGUGUGGAAUUCCAGGUGUAGCGGUGAAAUGCGUAGAUAUCUGGAGGAACACCGGUGGCGAAGGCGGCAUCCUGGACCAACACUGACGCUGAGUGAGCGAAAGCCAGGGGAGCAAACGGG